AUUGAACGCUGGCGGCAGGCCUAACACAUGCAAGUCGAGCGGAUGAAGGGAGCUUGCUCCUGGAUUCAGCGGCGGACGGGUGAGUAAUGCCUAGGAAUCUGCCUGGUAGUGGGGGAUAACGUCCGGAAACGGGCGCUAAUACCGCAAACGUCCUUAGGGAGAAAGUGGGGGAUCUUCGGACCUCACGCUUUCAUAGUAGCCUAGGUCGGAUUAGCUAGUUGGUGGGGUAAAGGCCUACCAAGGCGACGAUCCGUAACUGGUCUGAGAGGAUGAUCAGUCACACUGGAACUGAGACACGGUCCAGACUCCUACGGGAGGCAGCAGUGGGGAAUAUUGGACAAUGGGCGAAAGCCUGAUCCAGCCAUGCCGCGUGUGUGAAGAAGGUCUUCGGAUUGUAAAGCACUUUAAGUUGGGAGGAAGGGCAGUAAGUUAAUACCUUGCUGUUUUGACGUUACCAACAGAAUAAGCACCGGCUAACUUCGUG
rnacentral:rRNA from 1 species